rnacentral:rRNA from 1 species
UACGUAGGGUCCGAGCGUUGUCCGGAAUUACUGGGCGUAAAGAGCUCGUAGGUGGUUUGUCGCGUUGUCCGUGAAAACUCACAGCUCAACUGUGGGCGUGCGGGCGAUACGGGCAGACUGGAGUACUGCAGAGGAGACUGGAAUUCCUGGUGUAGCGGUGGAAUGCGCAGAUAUCAGGAGGAACACCGGUGGCGAAGGCGGGUCUCUGGGCAGUAACUGACGCUGAGGAGCGAAAGCGUGGGGAGCAAACAGG